rnacentral:lncRNA from 1 species
ACUUAGGAUAGGUACAAAUAAAUACAGCGGAUUUACAAGUUUUGAAAGGCGUCAAACUUCAUCCUAUCCUAGAACAAUAGUGUAACAUCACCACAUCAAAAGACACACUAUAAAAUUCCAUUUGAAAUGGCUUAAAAGAAGGGCGAAAGAUACCAGAAGGGCAUUCAAACCAAAAGAUCGAAAUAAACUGACAACGCCAUGGCUUAAAAAAGAAGAAGACACACAGACAAAUAAUAGUACACAAGACACAACAUAGGAAACUAAAGACUAUGCAACACAAACCCCACCAAAAACCAGGUGCUCCGUAA